AGAGUUUGAUCCUGGCUCAGAACGAACGUUGGCGGCGUGGAUUAGGCAUGCAAGUCGAACGCGAACGCCGGGCUUCGGCCUGGUUAGUAGAGUGGCGAACGGGUGAGUAACGCGUGGGCAAUCUACCCUUGAGUGGGGAAUAACCAUUCUAACGAGUGGCUAAUUCCGCAUGUGACCAUUUCCUCGCAUGGGGGAAUGGGGAAAGGCGGGGAUCUUCGGACCUGCCGCUCGAGGAGGAGCCCGCGUCCCAUUAGCUUGUUGGUGGGGUAACGGCCCACCAAGGCGACGAUGGGUAGCCGAUCUGAGAGGAUGACCGGCCACACUGGGACUGAGAUACGGCCCAGACUCCUACGGGAGGCAGCAGUCGAGAGGCUUCGGCAAUGGGGGAAACCCUGACCGAGCGACGCCGCGUGCGGGAAUGAAGGCCUUCGGGGUUGUAAACCGCUGUCAGAAGGGAAGAAUCCCCCUCGGGUGGAAUAUCCCGAGGGUUUGACGGUACCUUUCAAAGGGAAGCUCUUGGCUAACUUCGUUGCCAGCAGCCGGCGGGUAAUAUCGGGAGGGAAGCGAACGUUGGUUCGGAUUCACUGGGGCCGUAAAGGGGCGUGGUAGGCGGUCUGGGCAAGGUCAGGGGUUGAAAUUACCGCGGGCUCUACCGGCUGGAAAUUGGCCACGAUUGAAACUAUGCCUGAAUCACGACUUGAGGGCCGGUUGAGAGGGAGACCUGGGAAUUCUCAAGUUGUAGCCGGUGGAAUGCGAUAGAUAUUUGGGAGGACAUCCAGUGGCGAAGGCGAGUCUCUGGGCACGGUUCUGACGUUGGAGGCGCGAAGCUAGGGGAGCCAUCGGAUUAGAUCUCCCGGUAGUCCUAGCGUAACGAUGAGCACUAGUGUCGACGCAUCGACCCGGUCGGUGCUGAAGCUAGACGCUUAAGGUGUCCCGCCUGGGGAGUACGGCCGCAAGGUUGAAACUCAAGGAUGACGGGGCCCGCCACAAGCGGUGGAGCAUGUGUUAUUCGACGCAACGCGAAGACCUUACCCAGGCUUGACAUCCUUGGGAUCGCCUCAGAGAUGGGGUUUUCCUUCGGGACCCUUGGACAGGUGCUGCAUGGCUGUCGUCAGCUCGUGUCGUGAGAUGUUGGGUUAAGUCCCGCAACGAGCGCAACCCUUACCCUUAGUUGCCAGCGGUUUGGCCGGGCACUCUAAGGGGACUGCCCCGGAAAACGGGGAGGAAGGUGGGGAUGACGUCAAGUCCUCAUGGCCCUUACGUCCGGGGCUACACACGUGCUACAAUGGCCGGUACAGAGGGUAGCAAUGCCGCGAGGUGGAGCCAAUCCCACAAAGCCGGCCUCAGUUCGGAUUGGAGUCUGCAACUCGACUCCAUGAAGUCGGAAUCGCUAGUAAUCGCGGAUCAGCAUGCCGCGGUGAAUACGUUCCCGGGCCUUGUACACACCGCCCGUCAAGUCAGCCGAAUUGAGUGCUCCCUAAGACGCUGCUCCGACCCGUAAGGGAGGAAGGUGUCCAAGGAGUGCUUGGUGAGGGGGACUAAGUCGGAACAAGGUAACC
rnacentral:rRNA from 1 species